rnacentral:lncRNA from 1 species
CCAGAGGCAGCACACAUCUCUCCAGAAGGCUUGUGGUGGAAAUGGACAAAAUUAGUAAACACAGGCUUUCUUCGUGAGCUCCUACGGUGUGCUGGAACGGAUCUCAUCCUACAGCAAUCCAAGACAGGGUGUUAAUGAUAGAGCUCCUGGUGAACCUUGGCGGAUUCCGUGGCAGAACCCAGCCCAUUACUGAAUUAUAACGAGUGGAAAAGAAAUACUAAGAAGACAGUGGGUAACUCUAGCACCAGAGGACGCUCAGCAAAAGGCUGAGCAAGUGUCACUGUGGCCUGUGCUUUCCUGGCAUCUUGUUUUGAGGAUACAGACAUUUUACUUGUUUUUUUUUUUUUGUUUUUUUUUUUUUGAAAAACAGAAUUUAUAAUGUAUGAAGAAAUGAUUGUUCAAAAACCAAAAAU